AGUGAACGCUGGCGGUAGGCCUAACACAUGCAAGUCGAACGGCAGCACAGUAAGAGCUUGCUCUUACGGGUGGCGAGUGGCGGACGGGUGAGGAAUACAUCGGAAUCUACUUUUUCGUGGGGGAUAACGUAGGGAAACUUACGCUAAUACCGCAUACGACCUACGGGUGAAAGCAGGGGAUCUUCGGACCUUGCGCGAUUGAAUGAGCCGAUGUCGGAUUAGCUAGUUGGCGGGGUAAAGGCCCACCAAGGCGACGAUCCGUAGCUGGUCUGAGAGGAUGAUCAGCCACACUGGAACUGAGACACGGUCCAGACUCCUACGGGAGGCAGCAGUGGGGAAUAUUGGACAAUGGGCGCAAGCCUGAUCCAGCCAUACCGCGUGGGUGAAGAUGGCCUUCGGGUUGUAAAGCCCUUUUGUUGGGAAAGAAAAGCAGCAGGUUAAUACCCCGCUGUUCCGACGGUACCCAAAGAAUAAGCACCGGCUAACUUCGUG
rnacentral:rRNA from 1 species